rnacentral:tRNA from 1 species
UGAUAGCUCAGUUGGAUAGAGUGUUUGGCUACGAACCAAAAGGUCGGGGGUUCGAAUCCCUUUCAG